rnacentral:tRNA from 1 species
GGGCGAUUGGCUCAGUGGUAGAGCAUCUCGUUUACACCGAGGGGGCCAGCGGUUCGAAUCCGUUAUCGCCCACCA